rnacentral:tRNA from 1 species
UCCGAGUGGUUAAGGAGGUGGACUAGAAAUCCACUGGGCUCUGCCCGCGCAGGUUCGAAUCCUGC